GUUGAGACAGACCCUGCUGCCAGCAAGCUCUCUCCAUCCUGAGCCCUGUCGUAUCUCCCUCCUGCUCUAUGGAGAUUGGAACUGGCAAUAGGACAAACAGCACUUGUGAAAAGAGGAAGAAAGUGCCACCCUGUGCAGAGAAGUCUCCUCUGGGCAGACAGGACCUCCCCUACUGGAUUUCAUAUACAUUAUGUUUAGCCUCUGAAGUAAGCUGGCUCUGAGUAAAGCUUUACUUGUCAAUUUCACCUAUGCACUUUCAAAUACCAGCAGUCUCUACUGGCACUACUGGCCUGGGAACGGGCCAGAUGCAGAUCUCCUACCAGAAGCUAGCAAUCCCACAGCCUGAUGUUUCACAAAUAAGAAAAGCCUGGAAACCUUUUACCUUUCCUCUUCCUCCACUUUUGAAGGCAACAAGGAGAUCAAUGCCUAUGUGGGAUGCAGAGACCCAAAGAGACAGACAAUAAGGGUAGAAAUACUGAAUUUCCCUUUCAUUGUAUUUCAAUGACUUUCUAACGAUAAUUUAAAACAUUUUUUGGCUUUCAAAAGCAUUAACAGAGGAUUGUCAUGCAAUCAGCUAAUUUCAUGCUAUUCUCCGACCCAGCAGCACUGAGAGCGAGAAGGAGACCAACCCAAAGAGUGAGGCAUAGAGCAGAUAAUUCUGAGUGCUGGCUCAUUGGUCUCUCAUGCCCAGAGCCCGAAUUCUACCAGUAUUUCAGUAUUUAUACACGUUAACUUUAAGUGCAUGAAUAGUCCUUUUGUAGUUAAUGGGACUACUCUUGUGUUUAGAGUUAAGUAUGUGCACAAGUGUUGGCAGCAGCAGGAUUUAAUUCAGUUUAAGAAAACAACAGAAAAAUUAUGGAAAUGAUAUAAAAUCCAUGAGCUUUUUUUCCCUCCCCUCCUGAAUUUUCCUGACUGCCUUGACAACUCCCAUUUCACAUACCACUCCCAGCCAUUAGCCCUUUCCAGCCCAGUAAUACUUGAAAUAACGAGAAACAGUAGUCAGGAAGGGAGGCAGGCCCCCAACCUGAAGCAAAUACUCACCAGCAACUACACACCACACCACCCCAGGAACCAAUCCCUGUAGCAAACCUCGUUGCCUACUCUGUCCCCGUAUCUACUUUAAUGAUACCAUCCGAGGACCCA